rnacentral:pre_miRNA from 1 species
UUGCUAGAUAACAGAAAGUAUAAAACGGAGAGAGGACGAAACACUCGUCUGUGUUUCGUCCUCUCUCUGUUUUAUACUUUCUGUUAUCUAGUACAUC